rnacentral:ncRNA from 2 species
CUUAUUCUUCAGGGCAGGGUGAGAUUCCCGACCGGCGGUAAAGUCCGCGAACUGCUUUGCAGUUGACUUGGUGAGAUUCCAAGACCGACAGUAUAGUCUGGAUGGAAGAGGUUUAAG